rnacentral:rRNA from 1 species
UACAGAGGGGGCAAGCGUUGUUCGGAAUUACUGGGCGUAAAGGGCGCGUAGGCGGCCUUCUAAGUCGAACGUGAAAUCCCCGGGCUCAACCCGGGAACUGCGUCCGAUACUGGAAGGCUUGAAUCCGGGAGAGGGAUGCGGGAAUUCCAGGUGUAGCGGUGAAAUGCGUAGAUAUCUGGAGGAACACCGGUGGCGAAGGCGGCGAUCCUGGACCGGUAGUUGACGCUGAGGCGCGAAAGCCAGGGGAGCAAAGCAGG